GGGCCUAUAGUCCAGUGGUAAGACACCGCAUUCGCAUUGCGGAGACGCGAGUUCGAUUCUCGCUAGGUCCACAA
rnacentral:tRNA from 1 species